UUUGAUCCUGGCUCACGACGAACGCUGGCGGCGUGCCUAAUACAUGCAAGUCGAACGAACUCUGGUAUUGAUUGGUGCUUGCAUCAUGAUCUACAUCUGAGUGAGUGGCGAACUCUGAGUAACACGUGGGAAACCUGCCCAGAAGCGGCGGAUAACACCUGGACACAGAUGCUAAUACCGCAUAACAACUUGGACCGCAUGGUCCGAGCUUGAAAGAUGGCUUCGGCUAUCACUUUUGCAUGGUCCCGCGGCGUAUUAGCUAGAUGGUGGGGUAACGGCUCACCAUCGCAAUGAUACGUAGCCGACCUGAGAGCGUAAUCGGCCACAUUGGGACUGAGACACGGCCCAAACUCCUACGGGAGGCAGCAGUAGGGAACUUCCACAAUGGACGAAAGCUGAUGGAGCAACGCCGCGUGAGUGAAGAAGGGUUCGGCUCGUAAACUCUUUGUAAAGAAUAACAUAUC
rnacentral:rRNA from 2 species